AUUUGACCUAACCCUAGGCCGCGGCCGGAUCCAGAUCCGGCGCCAGCGAUGGGCGAUUUCAACCUCGCCCUGGUAAUCGUCGCCGCCGUCGUCUGCUUCCUCGUCCUCGCCAUCAAUUUCUACCUCCUCGUCAACUACCAGCACCCCGACGACGUCAACCAGGCCUACUUCCCCAAGAUUGUCGUCGUCCUUGGCCUCACCGUCGCCGCCAUUUCCAUCCUCA
rnacentral:misc_RNA from 1 species